rnacentral:misc_RNA from 1 species
GAAGAACCAAAUUGCAUAGUACACCAUUUGUUUUUUACCAUAUAACUUUUAUUCUAAAAGACAACAUUACCAACACAGACCUAACAUCUUAAUAUCUCAUUAUACCAGUAAAGGACAUCCAACAAAGGUAGCAAAUAGACAUAACCUGAAUAGGAAAGCACAACAUAUGAAAUGACAUGCUGCAAGGGUAUCCAGUCACAGCUUGAAACAUGACAACUGGCUGAUCUAUUCUUUCUGGUAAAAGGAACGGAAGGCAAGGGCUGCAACCAAUAUCAACAAGGGUAACAAGAAUUGCAAUAGCUUCCAUGAGUUUCCAGAACCCUGUCCUCCAGCUGAUGGUGUUGCUGAGGGAGGCGGGGUAUGUUUGCGUUCUGCAGGAAUGGUGGAACUGUCAAUUUCACCAAUGAAGUAUUUCUUCAACAUCUCUCUUGCAUCAUCACUGUGACCGACAUCUUCAAAAUCAUCUGUCGCAUCCUUGCCUGUUGCAGUUAGCAACACUUCAUCACCUCCAGGAUGAUCAUCCAAAAAAGAGGUUACAUCAUAAACCUUUCCAGAGAUGAGAAGCCAGCAAUCAUCUUUGUUGUUGUGCUCCAACAAGUCGUUAAAAGCAUGAAGUUUGGUCAUCUUCACCGAUCUCUGAACUUCCGCCGAACGCACGCCAGAAGUCAAAGUUGAGUAACGUGUUUAGUAUGC